CACAAGCGGUGGAGUAUGUGGUUCAAUUCGAUGCAACGCGAAGAACCUUACCUGGUCUUGACAUCCCGGAGACCCUUAGGAAACUAGGGGGUGCUUCCAUCUGGAAGAAUCUGGAGACAGGUGCUGCAUGGCUGUCGUCAGCUCGUGUCGUGAGAUGUUGGGUUAAGUCCCGCAACGAGCGCAACCCUUGCCUUUAGUUGCCAGCAGUUCGGCUGGGCACUCUAAAGGGACUGCCGGUGUUAAACCGGAGGAAGGUGGGGAUGACGUCAAGUCCUCAUGGCCUUUAUGACCAGGGCUACACACGUACUACAAUGGCCGAUACAAAGGGCAGCGACACUGCGAGGUGAAGCCAAUCCCGUAAAAUCGGUCUCAGUCCGGAUUGGAGUCUGCAACUCGACUCCAUGAAGUUGGAAUCGCUAGUAAUCGUGGAUCAGCAUGCCACGGUGAAUACGUUCCCGGGCCUU
rnacentral:rRNA from 1 species